UAUUGAGAGAGGGAGGGAGGGAAGGAAAGGAGGAGGAUGAAGUUUCUUCCAGCUGUUUUUGUAAUUGACUAUACAGUAGCAGUUGUAGAGAGAGAGAGAGAGAGAGGGACAGUGAGAGAGCAAGAAGGGGUAGACAAAACAAAUCAUCUGACACAGAGUUUCAAGGAAACUACGGGACGAAAAAAAUGAGGGAUAGGGAGAGAGUGAGUGAAUAGAGCAAGACUUGAAUAACAACUUCAAAAAAGAGCGAGGAAGUUGACCCAACAGUGGAAUGAGUAUUAGGAUAAAACAGCACUGCUAACAGCGGAGGAGUGAAAGUCUCGUCAGGGAACCGGGUCGCAUGCCUCUCUUUCGCCGUAACGUCCUCUUUUGAGUCCCGGGGAUAAAGGCCUGGUCCGGAGUAAGAAGAACGUCCAGAGCUGCCAACUGGUUGAAGUAUGUUCGUCCAAAUUGAGCUCUACUUCCUCCAUUCAUGCGAUCUCAAUCACCUGCUUACAUCCUGCCAAUCCCAGGCACCCCUUCCCUUCCAAUAACCAGAGGCUGACCUUCCGAAGGAGGAACCAGACAUUGGGGGUCACCAUGGGAUCCAGACUACUCAUACAAUAUCCCAGAAUGCAGUGGGGAAGGGAUGAAGCAUUUAAACACCACCAUCAACAGUGGAGUCAGAUGACUGGUCAAUGUGCUUUAAAGAGACAUUCUUUGGUAGGCUUAAAGAUAGUAUAGUCAGACAAUACUGGCAUUCAUGCUAUCCACAUAUUAAGAUGCCAACAAAACAAAGAGUCUUGCAUGUGAUGACAAACUCAGUCAAAACAGAAAAUGUGUGUCAGUCUGUCUCUUGUGAAAACAGUGAACAACUUGUGAACAUUUCUGAAUUAUAAUAUAUACUGUGGAGCCAGUUUCCCCACCCCAGUUAGCGGGUAGAUUUGCUUUUAGCCAAAUCCUUUUAGAGCAAGCCAAAUAAUUUCAUGUUUUGAAAAGUUAUCCUAGAUCAGGAUUCAUUGUUUGAAUGGUAAGAUGCCAAUCAUUUGAGUAUGUAUGGCAAAGAUUAUGAUGACAACCAGAGCAUGAAUUACACCGUGACAACCAGAGCAUGAAUUACACCGUGACAUUCGAAGUGGUCUCUAUUUAGUGCAAAAAAAUGUAUGGGCCUAAUAAUAAAGACAAUUUAACGGUAAAAAUGAUUUACCAUUUUAAUUUAGCAUGAACACAACAGUCAUGAUACUUUCAUCUGAUUGCCAAACAAAUCACUUCAAAAAGUAGGCUACCUGUGCAUGUUCGUCCACACCAAAAUAAUCCAAACAAUGCAAUGGAUGUACACUUGCGCCAUUAGAUGAAUGGAAAUAGAUAUCUGUUUACAAAACACCAAAAAGAGUGCCUAAUGACAUCGGACGAUUAUCAUUGAUUAGGCCUACGUUAAUUGAUGCAGCUUACUGACAAAUGCACCUACUGUCAUUGAUGUUGGAUGGAUUGGAUGCGCAUUGGUGUCUAGCUGUAGGAUAGUUGCCUAGUGAUAUUGGCGGCCAUCAUCAGCUGAUCCAGGAAAUAAAAUAUUGAUAGAAAAUAAUAAAGCAAAAGAAAUGGUAUACCUCUUAUGGCCACGGACGGCAUAGAGAACACCAAUACCCGCGCGCACCUGAAAAACAAAGCAAUGAGCGCUCUAAACAGCUGACUGACAAAAGCAAACAGUGAUACAUCAACAGAUACAUCUAAUGCAUUGGAAUAAAGGC